rnacentral:rRNA from 1 species
CCUGCGGAAGGAUCAUUAUUGAAUUCAACGCGAAGUUGUGCUGGCUUGUCAAAGAGCAUGUGCACGCUGCGCAUAUAUUCAACCACCUGUGAAUCUAUUGUAGAUCUGAGAAUAUUUCCUCAAGGAAACUUGGAUGUAGAGCUUGUUGGCCUUGAUUUAGAGGUCGACUGCCCUUGCUUCUCAGGUCUAUGCUUCUACAUACCCCAUACAUGUAUUAGAAUGCUCAUAAAUGGCUUAUCAUAAGCCUUUAAUUUUAUACAACUUUCAACAACGGAUCUCUUGGCUCUCGCAUCGAUGAAGAACGCAGCGAAAUGCGAUAAGUAAUGUGAAUUGCAGAAUUCAGUGAAUCAUCGAAUCUUUGAACGCACCUUGCACCCUUUGGUAUUCCGAAGGGUAUGCCUGUUUGAGUGUCAUUAAAUUCUCAACCUUUACCAGCUUGCUGGCUUCAAAGGCUUGGAUGUGGAGGCAUAUAUGCGGGCUUCUCUCGAAGUCGGCUCCUCUCAAAUGCAUUAGCAGAGUCAUUGUGUCGGCUUUGGGUGUGAUAAUUAUCUACGCCUUAUUUGUCUGAUGCUUUUACGGCUUAGCUUUCUAAUCGUCCGAAAGGACAGCAUUAUUUGACAUUGACCUCAAAUCA